AUAACUAUUCCCAACAUUCUUUACAAGGAAAGUACUAGGUAUGUUACUUUAACAUUGUUAGUUUAAAUCAAUGUAUUAUUGGAUCUGAUUAACAUAUGCCAAGAAACUGACCAAUUCUUCUAUAUUGACUAGUAUUUAGGAAGUAUUUGCUUUAAAACUUGUCUCUCUGUUAAGGACUCCAUAUGCUCCGAUUAUUGUUAAUGACAAAUUGACAACCAUAGUAGAGAAAUUAUCUUAAAUUUUUCUAGUAUGAAUCUUACUUUUUGGUACAUUAGAUAUAUGAUUAUGUUUAUGUUGCAGAUAAAAUGACAAAGAUAGUUUGGGGAGACUCUACUAGAAUGAUUCAAUGUAUGCAAACUUGUAGCUGAUCCUAAUGCCACAUUGUAAUUUCUUUGCAUAUAUAAUAUGCUUUAAGGUACAUUGAUAUUAGCUUGGUAUAUGAAGAGUGUGCUUGACAUAUAACUUCUCAAGAUUUUAGUUGAAGUGGUUCGUGUUUAUUUUAUCAUUUCUAAUUUUAUGUUUGUCAUUGACUCUGAAGCAUGUACUCCGACACAAAUAUCUGACACAACAUGGACACGUAAAGAAAAAAGGCUGGACACUGACACCACUGCAUAUAUUAAAGAUCUAAAUUGAGAAUCAAAGUGGAUCUAAAUUGAGCAAUUUAUUUUAUUAAAAACAUUUUUUCUGUGCUUCAUCACUGAUCCUUGGUUUGCUAUGAUUUGAUUUUAUAUAUCUGAGAUGUUGCUGCUGCGGUUUUUGUAAGACAGAGUUUGUGGCCGGAACUUGUGCCAAAUCUGCAGACUUCUAUUCAAAAUAGCCAUCUGCUCAGACCCUUUCAGGUAUUCGAAAUUCACUGUUGGUGGCCUUGAUAAUUUGUAAAUUUUUGUUAUUUAAUGCAAUUUGUCAUGAUAUGCUUUUUAU
rnacentral:lncRNA from 1 species